CCAAAACAUUAUUUUAGAAAAUCAUCAAAUAAUCACUUUUAACCCUAAUUCCCAAAUUCUCAAAAACUAAAACCUACAACAUGUUAAAUCCAAUUUUCAGAAUCAAUGACUUAAGAUUAUUGAAUGUUAGUCCCACCCUUACCUUAUAGAUGAAAAUCGCAGCACUCCUAGGUCUUCUCCCUCCUCUCGGCUUUUUCUCCAUUUUCUCCAAAAUUGAUCCUACGUUAUGUUUUUUCUAAAUUAGGUUUCUCCUAUUUAUAACCCUUUUUUCUAUUUUAUCUUAUUUCUCUUUCUCCCCCAAAACUCUCUAAAAUCUCAUAACAAAC
rnacentral:lncRNA from 1 species